rnacentral:rRNA from 1 species
GGCGGGGCUAUAAUGCAGUCGAGCGAGCAGAACCAGCAGAUUUACUUCGGUAAUGACGCUGGGGGCCCUUGCGGCGGAUGGGUGAGUAACACGUGGGGAACCUGCCCCAUAGUCUGGGAUACCACUUGGAAACAGGUGCUAAUACCGGAUAAUAAAGCAGAUCGCAUGAUCAGCUUAUAAAAGGCGGCGUAAGCUGUCGCUAUGGGAUGGCCCCGCGGUGCAUUAUCUAGUUGGCAAGGUAACGGCUUACCAAGGCAAUGAUGCAUACCCGAGUUGAGAGACUGAUCGGCCACAUUGGGACUGAGACACGGCCCAAACUCCUACUGGAGGCAGCAAUAGGAAAUCUUCCACAAUGGACGCAAGUCUGAUGGAGCAACGCCCCGUGAGUGACCAAGGCUUUCGGAUCGUAAAGCUCUGUUGACUGGUGAAGAAUGAUAGAGGUCUUAACUGGCCUUUAUUUGACGGUAAUCACCCACAAAGUUAUGUUUAACUACGUGCCUGCCCGCCGCGGUAAUACGUAGGUGGCAAGCGACUGCCCGUGAUUUAUUGGCCGUACAGCGAGCGCUAUGCCGAACAACUCCUCCUGAUGUCGAAAGCCCUCCGGCUUAACCUCAGGAACUGCAACUUCAAACUGUUUUU